GAUGAACGCUGGCGGCGUGCCUAAUACAUGCAAGUCGAGCGAACAGACGAGGAGCUUGCUCCUCUGACGUUAGCGGCGGACGGGUGAGUAACACGUGGAUAACCUACCUAUAAGACUGGGAUAACUUCGGGAAACCGGAGCUAAUACCGGAUAAUAUAUUGAACCGCAUGGUUCAAUAGUGAAAGACGGUUUUGCUGUCACUUAUAGAUGGAUCCGCGCCGCAUUAGCUAGUUGGUAAGGUAACGGCUUACCAAGGCAACGAUGCGUAGCCGACCUGAGAGGGUGAUCGGCCACACUGGAACUGAGACACGGUACAGACUCCUACGGGAGGCAGCAGUAGGGAAUCUUCCGCGAUGGGCGAAAGCCUGACGGAGCAACGCCGCGUGAGUGAUGAAGGUCUUCGGAUCGUAAAACUCUGUUAUUAGGGAAGAACAAAUGUGUAAGUAACUAUGCACGUCUUGACGGUACCUAAUCAGAAAGCCACGGCUAACUACGUG
rnacentral:rRNA from 1 species